rnacentral:RNase_P_RNA from 1 species
CGGCGUCCGCCAGACGAUCGCCGGCGGGCUGCGCGCCUGCCGGAGGAAAGUCCGAACACCACAGGGCAGGGUGCUCCAUAACGUGGAGUCGCGGCAACGCGAAGGAAAGUGCAACAGAGAGCAGACCGCCCCGCACCCACUUUUAUUUCCAGGACCGGUAUUACAGGAAAACGAGCCUGGCGAUAAAAGUGGGUGCGGGGUAAGGGUGAAACGGUGCGGUAAGAGCGCACCAGUUCCCCGGGUGACCGGGGAAGCUAGGUAAACCCCACCCGGUGCAAGACCGAAUAGGGGAGCGUUUGAGGGCGGCCCGCCUGAUGCUUCCGGGUAGGUCGCAAGAGGUGCCGGGCAACCGGCAUCCACAGAUGAAUGAUCGUCGCCCGCAGGCGGGGCAACCGGCCUGCGGGAACAGAAUUCGGCUUAUGGACGGCGCCGGCCG